rfam:Neotoma lepida isolate 417 scaffold_18632, whole genome shotgun sequence.
GUGGCUCAGAGGUUAAGAGCACUGGUUGUUCUUUCAGAGGUCCUGAGUUCAAUUCUCAGC